GCCUAGGUGGCUCAGUUGGUUGAGUGUCUGACUUUGGCUCAGGUCAUGAUCUCAUGGUGGUUUGUGAGUUCGAGCCCCGCAUCAGGCU
rnacentral:tRNA from 1 species